AAAGACGCCUGGGUCCUCCAGACGGUUCGCGGUUUCGUCAUAGACUUCUCCGCACGACCCAUUCAAAACGCUCCCCCUCCCCCAAUCCACAUGUCGUCAAGACAAAGCCACCUAGUAGACGAAGAGAUCCACGCUCUCUUCGAGAAAGGCGCGAUACAAUACGCACGGGGAGGCUUUCUAAGCAACAUUUUCUUGGUCAAGAAGAAGACGGGCGAGUACAGGCUGAUUAUCAAUCUCCGGCAGUUAAACUCAUUCGUAAUCUACAGACACUUCAAGAUGGAAGGAAUCCAUCUUCUACAAGACCUUCUCGUCAAGGACGACUGGUUUACGCGUCUGGACCUCAAAGAUGCGUAUCUGUCCGUCCCAGUGGACGUACACUGCCGACAAUUCCUCCGCUUCCGAUGGAGAGGAUGGAUAUGCCAAUUUACAUGUCUGCCAUUCGGCCUCAGCUCGGCUCCGUGGUGCUUCACGAAGCUACUGAGACCAGUGAUGGCUCACAUCCGAACGAGGGGCAUACGAUGUCUCGUAUACUUGGACGAUUUGCUGAUCUUUUGCGAAUCCACAUCCAGGCUACGAUCAC